rnacentral:rRNA from 1 species
GAUGAACGCUGGCGGCGUGCUUAACACAUGCAAGUCGAGCGAGAAGUUUUGAAAAGAUUCUUCGGAUGAAAUUUAAAAUGGAAAGCGGCGGACGGGUGAGUAACGCGUAGGCAACCUGCCCCAUACAAAGGGAUAGCAUUUGGAAACGAAUAUUAAUACCUUAUGAAACUUAACUAGUGCAUGCUAGGUAGGUCAAAGAUUUAUCGGUAUGGGAUGGGCCUGCGUCUGAUUAGCUAGUUGGUGAGGUAACGGCUCACCAAGGCGACGAUCAGUAGCCGACCUGGGAGGGUGAACGGCCACAUUGGAACUGAGCCACGGUCCAAACUCCUACGGGAGGCAGCAGUGGGGAAUAUUGCACAAUGGGGGAAACCCUGAUGCAGCAACGCCGCGUGAACGAGGAAGGCCUUUGGGUCGUAAAGUUCUGUUCUAGGUGAUGAAAACUGACAGUAACCUAGGAGAAAGCCCCGGCUAACUCCGUG